rnacentral:rRNA from 1 species
GACGAACGCUGGCGGCGCGCUUAACACAUGCAAGUCGAACGGAAAGGCCUGCUUUCCCUUGUGGAUUGCGGGUACUCGAGUGGCGAACGGGUGAGUAACACGUGAGUGAUCUGCCCCCAACUUGGGUAUAAGCCUGGGAAACUGGGUCUAAUUCCCGAUAGGACUGCAGGGUGGUGCCUGUGGUGGAAAACGAUUUUCUAGUGGUUGGGGAUGAGCUCGCGGCCUAUCAGCUUGUUGGUGGGGUAAUGGCCUACCAAGGCGGCGACGGGUAGCCGGCCUGAGAGGGUGGACGGCCACAUUGGGACUGAGAUACGGCCCAGACUCCUACGGGAGGCAGUAGUGGGGAAUAUUGCACAAUGGGCGGAAGCCUGAUGCAGCGACGCCGCGUGGGGGAUGACGGCCUUCGGGUUGUAAACUCCUUUCGACCGCGAGGAAGCCACCUGGUUGGAAGGGUGGUGACGGUAGUGGUAGAAGAAGCACCGGCUAACUACGUG